GGAGAGGUGCCUGAGUGGCCGAAAGGAACGGUUUGCUAAAUCGUCGUACGGGUAACACUGUACCGUGGGUUCGAAUCCCACCCUCUCCG
rnacentral:tRNA from 1 species